ACCUGCGGAAGGAUCAUUAUUGAAUGAAACUUCUGGCUGGAUGUUGUUGUGCUGGCCCUUUGGGGCAAUGUGCACGCCUCUGGUCAUUUGUUUCUUCUUUUCCACCUGUGCACUGCCUGUAGACACUGUGUCUAUGAUAUGUUACACACACACACCACAUGUACAGAUAUAGAUGCUUAGGCAUAUGUGUAUAAUAAAUACAACUUUCAACAAUGGAUCUCUUGGCUCUCGCAUCGAUGAAGAACACAGCGAAAUGUGAUAAGUAAUGUGAAUUGCAGAAUCCAGUGAAUCAUCGAAUCUUUGAACGCAUCUUGCGCUCCUUGGCAUUCCAAGGAGCAUGCCUGUUUGAGUGUCGUUAAACUAUCAAAACACUUUUCUUGGGUGUUUUGGACUUUGGGAGUGUCUUGCUGGUCUGUUUGAGCCAGCUCUCCUCAAAAGCAUUAGUUCUGGAGACCAUCAGUGUGAUAAUUUGUUUACACUGACUUGAGUGUCUCGGCUUCUCCUUUUCAAUAUGCAUUUGACCUCAAAUCAGGUAGGACCUACCCGCUGAACUUAAG
rnacentral:rRNA from 1 species